rnacentral:rRNA from 1 species
GAUGGAAGCCAGCUUGCUGUUGGAUUAGUGGCGAACGGGUGAGUAACACGUGGGUGAUCUGCCCCAAACUUUGGGAUAAGCCUGGGAAACUGGGUCUAAUACCGAAUAUGACCGAUACUCGCAUGGGUGUUGGUGGAAAGCUCCGGCGGUUUGGGAUGGGCCCGCGGCCUAUCAGCUUGUUGGUGGGGUAAUGGCCUACCAAGGCGACGACGGGUAGCCGGCCUGAGAGGGCGACCGGCCACACUGGGACUGAGACACGGCCCAGACUCCUACGGGAGGCAGCAGUGGGGAAUAUUGCACAAUGGGCGCAAGCCUGAUGCAGCGACGCCGCGUGAGGGAUGACGGCCUUCGGGUUGUAAACCUCUUUCACCAGGGACGAAGCGAAAGAGACGGUACCUGGAGAAGAAGC